GUGGGGAAUCUUGCGCAAUGGGCGAAAGCCUGACGCAGCCAUGCCGCGUGAAUGAUGAAGGUCUUAGGAUUGUAAAAUUCUUUCACCGGGGACGAUAAUGACGGUACCCGGAGAAGAAGCCCCGGCUAACUUCGUGCCAGCAGCCGCGGUAAUACGAAGGGGGCUAGCGUUGCUCGGAAUUACUGGGCGUAAAGGGCGCGUAGGCGGAUCGUUAAGUCAGGGGUGAAAUCACAGAGCUCAACUCUGGAACAGCCCUUGAUACUGGCGAUCUUGAGUGUGAGAGAGGUAUGUGGAACUCCGAGUGUAGAGGUGAAAUUCGUAGAUAUUCGGAAGAACACCAGUGGCGAAGGCGACAUACUGGCUCAUUACUGACGCUGAGGCGCGAAAGCGUGGGGAGCAAACAGGAUUAGAUACCCCAGUAGUCC
rnacentral:rRNA from 1 species